rnacentral:rRNA from 1 species
UACGUAGGGUGCGAGCGUUGUCCGGAAUUAUUGGGCGUAAAGAGCUCGUAGGUGGUCCGUCACGUCGGGUGUGAAAACCCAGGGCUCAACCCUGGGCGUGCAGUCGAUACUGACGAGCUCGAGUUCGGUAGAGGGUGACGGAAUUCCCGGUGUAGCGGUGAAAUGCGUAGAUAUCGGGAGGAACAUCGAUGGCGAAGGCAAUCACCUGGGCCUGAACUGACACUGAGACACGAAAGCGUGGGUAGCAAACAGG